AUACAAAAUAAGCAAGUACGAGUCUGAUAAAAAUGCUAGUCAGAAUCGCAUAUUUUCACCGUUGUAAUAUGCGAUUCUGACUAACAUUUUUAUCGGACUCGUACUUGCUUAUUAUUUCUCC